rnacentral:ncRNA from 2 species
CCACACACCCACGGGAGCUCGCAGCAGCGAGCUGAGAGGGCGGCUCAGCGCCGCCGACCGUUCGAACCUGUUCGGAUCAUGCCGACGUAGGGAGAGAGCCAUGAGCUCUG